GUGGGAACGUGCCCUUCUCUGCGGAAUAGCCACUGGAAACGGUGAGUAAUACCGCAUACGCCCUUCGGGGGAAAGAUUUAUCGGAGAAGGAUCGGCCCGCGUUAGAUUAGAUAGUUGGUGGGGUAACGGCCUACCAAGUCUACGAUCUAUAGCUGGUUUUAGAGGAUGAUCAGCAACACUGGGACUGAGACACGGCCCAGACUCCUACGGGAGGCAGCAGUGGGGAAUCUUAGACAAUGGGCGCAAGCCUGAUCUAGCCAUGCCGCGUGUGUGAUGAAGGUCUUAGGAUCGUAAAGCACUUUCGCCAGGGAUGAUAAUGACAGUACCUGGUAAAGAAACCCCGGCUAACUCCGUGCCAGCAGCCGCGGUAAUACGGAGGGGGUUAGCGUUGUUCGGAAUUACUGGGCGUAAAGCGUACGUAGGCGGAUCAGAAAGUUGGGGGUGAAAUCCCGGGGCUCAACCCCGGAACUGCUUCAAAACUCCUGGUCUUGAGUUCGAGAGAGGUGAGUGGAAUUCCAAGUGUAGAGGUGAAAUUCGUAGAUAUUUGGAGGAACACCAGUGGCGAAGGCGGCUCACUGGCUCGAUACUGACGCUUAGGUACGAAAAGUGUGGGGAGCAAACAGGAAUAAAUACCCUGGUAGUCCACACCGUAAACAAUGAAUGCC
rnacentral:rRNA from 1 species